rnacentral:rRNA from 1 species
UACGGGGGGGGCAAGCGUUGUUCGGAAUUACUGGGCGUAAAGGGCGCGUAGGCGGCCUGCUAAGUCGGAUGUGAAAUCCCUCGGCUCAACCGAGGAACUGCAUCCGAUACUGGCGGGCUUGAAUCCGGGAGAGGGAUGUGGAAUUCCAGGUGUAGCGGUGAAAUGCGUAGAUAUCUGGAGGAACACCGGUGGCGAAGGCGGCGUCCUGGACCAACACUGACACUGAGGAGCGAAAGCCAGGGGAGCAAACGGG